UACAGAGGUCCCGAGCGUUGUUCGGAUUCAUUGGGCGUAAAGGGUGCGUAGGCGGCGCCGUAAGUCAGGUGUGAAAUUUCGGAGCUUAACUCCGAAACUGCAUUUGAUACUGCGGUGCUUGAGGACUGGAGAGGAGACUGGAAUUCACGGUGUAGCAGUGAAAUGCGUAGAUAUCGUGAGGAAGACCAGUGGCGAAGGCGGGUCUCUGGACAGUUCCUGACACUGAGGCACGAAGGCCAGGGGAGCAAACGGG
rnacentral:rRNA from 1 species